rnacentral:rRNA from 1 species
AUGCCCCAUUACGAGCGGGACGACGUGGCACCGUCUUACGCCGACGACUGCGCGUCGGGUAUGUCCAUCGCCCAGCGCUGGUUCUUGGCGAAAGAGAGGUGCACGGUCCUGGCCAUCCGGAGCUGCGUGGAGUGGGAGCCCGAGACCUUCCCGCUGGUGGAGGCACUCCUCGGCAAGCCGGUCGUGCCCCUGGGCCUCCUGCCGCCGUCGGCCGACGGCGGCAGGCGCCGCGCGGCCGGAUCGUCAGAGGACCACGUCACGCUACGCUGGCUAGAAGAGCAGCCGCCCGACUCCGUCGUGUACAUCGCGCUGGGGAGCGAGGUGCCGCUGAGCGUUGAGCAGGUGCACGAGCUGGCCCUGGGGCUGGAGCUCGCCGGGACACGCUUCCUCUGGGCUCUGCGGAAGCCCGCCGGCGCCGUCCUCGACAACGACGAUGCCCUGCCCCCUGGUUUCCAGGACCGCACCCGCGGCCAUGGGGUGGUGACCAUGGGAUGGGUGCCCCAGAUCAGCAUCCUGGCGCACGCCGCCGUGGGCGCGUUCCUGACUCACUGCGGCCGGAACUCGCUCAUCGAAGGGCUUCUGUUCGGGCACCCUCUCAUCAUGCUGCCCAUCUUCAGGGACCAGGGCCCGAAUGCCCGCCAAAUGGAGGCGAAGAAGGUAGGGUUGCAGGUGGCGAGGGACGACGACGACGGGUCGUUCGGCCGCCAUGGCGUUGCGGCCGCGGUCCGGACCGUCAUGCUGGAUGGAGAAGCCAGGAGGGGAUUUGUGGCGGGUGCCCUCAAGAUGCAGGCGAUCGUGGCCGACAAGGAACGCCAUGAGAGAUACAUCGACGAAUUUGUUCAACAACUCAGAUCGUAUCUGCCAACUGACGAUCUCACUACUGCCACCCCCAACUCCAGCUGA